rnacentral:lncRNA from 1 species
GGGGAAGCUGUAGCCAUGCCUACUUAGGGGCUGGCUAAAGGUGUGCCUGACCACACUUGCAAGGGCGUGGUCAGGGUGACAUAGAGUGAGACUUUCAGGGGACUGCGUUUCUCUUUCAGUUUCACUUUUGGGCUUGUAUACAGACCGCUGCCAAGCCAGCUGGCUAGGUCAGUCUGUAAGUAAGGCUUUUCCCUAUUAAAUACCCUUAUAUUUCCACUUGGCUCCAUAUUGGUAAUUUCCCACUAUAGAUAUUAGCUGUUAAAUAAAUGAUAAUCAUGCUAUAAAUAAUCCACAGACCCAGAGAGGUUAAGUGACAAGGAGGGCUCAAGGGGGGACUCAUGGAUCUUCCUGGGAAGUAGAAAUAAAAUAAACUUUGUAGGUAGACUAGGGGUUGGUGGGAAUGGAAAUAGGAUGUAUCAGGUGGGGAGAGGAAAGGAGAAAGUAAGGGUAGAGACAAGUGUAAUUGGAGGGCAUGGGGGUGGGGUUGAUGUGGAAACAUAGUCCAAUAGAAACUCCCUGAAAUCUAAGGGGGUAACCCUAUCAAGGACUCUUAGUAAUGGAGGGUAUGGAGCCUAAACUGACCAUCUUCUGUAACCAGGGAAGCCUUCCAGUGGUAUGACUAGGAUACCAACCCAGCCACAAGAUGUGCUAGGGUAAGGGUGGCAUAGAACUUGUUGGAGUAGCCAAUCAAUGACUGGUAUAAUUUGAGGCCCACUCCACAAGCCACAAAAGGAGUCCAUGUCUAAUAUUGCCUGAAUGACAAGGAACCUGGGGCUAAAUUACCCAGAAACCUAGGGCAGAACCAAACACUACUGGCAAAAAAUAAACAAAUAAAUAAAUAUCAAUGAAAUGAUUACUGAUGAUGGUCUGCUAUGCUCAUAGAUAUGUGUCUAGUCCAGUAUCAUUAUCAGAGAGGCUACCUCUAGCAGCUGAUGGAAGCAGAUGCAGAGACCCACAACCAACUAUUAAGGCAGAGAGGUUGCAAGUUUCUAUCAUGUUCC